rnacentral:tmRNA from 1 species
GGGGGCGUUCUGGUUUCGACUGAUGAUUAGACGGGUGGGUUGCAUGUCGAGGUUGAUCGGCUGGCCUCGUAAAAAGCCGCUCAAAAAAAUUAAUUGCAGAUUCCAACGAAUACGCAAUGGCUGCUUAAUUGACAGUCAACGUCCGCUUGCCAACGCCUGCUAGGUGAGCCGACGACAAAUAGCAGGCUGAUUUCAACGCCGCGCACUCCGGCUGCGAAAUGAGAUCUAAUGAGUGAUCGGGAUCAGCAAACCGCCGACCGGAUAGCGCAUCCCUAAAUUCUCCGGACGGCUAAACAUGUAGAUGCUCACUUUGAAGAUCAUCAGGACAGGGGUUCGACUCCCCUCGCCUCCACCA